GUCAUGGCCUCCCUGCUAAACAGCUUUCCUUACAUGGACCAGAUUUGAGCUUGCCCUUUCCACUGUUCCAUUUGCUCAAAACUAUUAGUGAAGAGGGUAAAAUGAUUCUAAAGGCUAUUCUUGGUUGUCAACUAUUCAUCUGAGAUUAAUUAAACUCCAACGACAAAGGGAAUAUGUGUCGAAUUUCUGCAUGAGGGCAAGGCAUCUGCAGAUACAUUCAUUUGAGGAAUGUAUCCUUCUCACUGGAGACCAUAGAGGGGACCUGCAUAUCAAUAAUAAACGACACUUCAAGACAUCAAAGCAAAAUAUCAAAGUGAGAAUGGAAUAAAUUUAUUAGGACAGUGUUUUGCAAACAACUUCUUUCACAAACAGUCCUGGAAGGAGAGCUCUGAAAUUUUGCAUUUCAUAUUUGACUUUGCUCGUACUCUGACACAAUUAACUCACAACUUUUUGGGACUUUAUGGGCAAUUAAACACUACAAACAGAGCUGAAUGCAUCAUAUGCUCUGCCGUCUGUGUUAAUAUGGGUACAGUGAAGAACAACUAUAAUAAAUCUAUUCAUCUGUUUUUCAAACAGCAUCCUCAUACAAUUGUGGACUUCUGUGGGUUGUAGGAUGGCUGAGAGCUGCAAAUGCAGAA